UACGUAGGGUGCGAGCGUUAAUCGGAAUUACUGGGCGUAAAGCGUGCGCAGGCGGUUAUAUAAGACAGAUGUGAAAUCCCGGCGUUAACCUGGGAACUGCGUUUGUGACUGUAUAACUUGAGUGUGGCAGAGGGGGGUGGAAUUCCACGUGUAGCAGUGAAAUGCGUAGAGAUGUGGAGGAACACCGAUGGCGAAGGCAGCCCCCCUGGGUCAACACUGACGCUCAUGCACGAAAGCGUGGGGAGCAAAC
rnacentral:rRNA from 1 species